rnacentral:rRNA from 1 species
AUUGAACGCUGGCGGCAGGCCUAACACAUGCAAGUCGAACGAGGGGCGGACGGGUGAGUAAUGUCUGGGAAACUGCCCGAUGGAGGGGGAUAACUACUGGAAACGGUGGCUAAUACCGCAUACCAUCGGAUGUGCCCAUAUGGGAUUAGCUAGUAGGUGGGGUAAAGGCUCACCUAGGCGACGAUCCCUAGCUGGUCUGAGAGGAGGACCAGCCACACUGGGACUGAGACACGGUCCAGACUCCUACGGGAGGCAGCAGUGGGGAAUAUUGCACAAUGGGCGCAAGCCUGAUGCAGCCAUGCCGCGUGUAUGAAGAAGGCCUUCGGGUUGUAAAGUACUUUCAGCGAGGAGGCGUUACUCGCAGAAGAAGCACCGGCUAACUCCGUGCCAGCAGCCGCGGUAAUAC